rnacentral:rRNA from 1 species
GACGAACGCUGGCGGCGUGCUUAACACAUGCAAGUCGAACGGAAAGGCCCUGCUUUUGUGGGGUGCUCGAGUGUCGAACGGGUGAGUAACACGUGAGUAACCUGCCCUUGACUUUGGGAUAACUUCAGGAAACUGGGGCUAAUACCGGAUAGGAGCUCCUGCUGCAUGGUGGGGGUUGGAAAGUUUCGGCGGUUGGGGAUGGACUCGCGGCUUAUCAGCUUGUUGGUGGGGUAGUGGCUUACCAAGGCUUUGACGGGUAGCCGGCCUGAGAGGGUGACCGGCGACAUGGGGACUGAGAUACGGCCCAGACUCCUACGGGAGGCAGCAGUGGGGAAUAUUGCACAAUGGGCGGAAGCCUGAUGCAGCAACGCCGCGUGCGGGAUGACGGCCUUCGGGUUGUAAACCGCUUUCGCCUGUGACGAAGCGUGAGUGACGGUAAUGGGUAAAGAAGCACCGGCUAACUACGUG